rnacentral:rRNA from 1 species
CCUACGGGUGGCAGCAGUCGAGAAUCAUUCACAAUGGGGGAAACCCUGAUGGUGCGACGCCGCGUGGGGGAAUGAAGGUCUUCGGAUUGUAAACCCCUGUCAUGUGGGAGCAAAUUAAAAAGAUAGUACCACAAGAGGAAGAGACGGCUAACUCUGUGCCAGCAGCCGCGGUAAUACAGAGGUCUCAAGCGUUGUUCGGAAUCCCUGGGGGUAAAGCGUGCGUAGGCUGUUUCGUAAGUCGUGUGUGAAAGGCGCGGGCUCAACCCGCGGACGGCACAUGAUACUGAGAGACUAGAGUAAGGGAGGGGGAACCGGAAUGCUCGGUGUAGCAGUGAAAUGCGUAGAUAUCGAGAGGAACACUCGUGGCGAAGGCGGGUUCCUGGACAUUAACUGACGCUGAGGCACGAAGGCCAGGGGAGCGAAAGGGAUUAGAUACCCCAGUAGUC